rnacentral:rRNA from 1 species
UACAGAGGCCUCGAGCGUUAGGCGGAAUCACUGGGCUUAAAGCGUGUGUAGGCGGAUUGGUAAGUACCUUGUGAAAUCCCACAGCUUAACUGUGGAACUGCUCGGUAUACUGCUGAUCUUGAGCCACUCAGGGGCUACCGGAACAAAUGGUGGAGCGGUGAAAUGCGUAGAUAUCAUUUGGAACGCCAAUGGUGAAAACAGGUAGCUGGGGGUGUGCUGACGCUGAGACACGAGAGCCAGGGGAGCAAACGGG